UUUUUGGAGAGUUUGAUCCUGGCUCAGGACGAACGCUGGCGGCGUGCCUAACACAUGCAAGUCGAACGGAGAAUUUCAAUAAGUUUACUUAGAGAAGUUUUUAGUGGCGGACGGGUGAGUAACGCGUGGGUAACCUACCCAUAAAGCCGGGACAACCCUUGGAAACGAGGG
rfam:Desulfosporosinus lacus DSM 15449 genome assembly, contig: EJ50DRAFT_scaffold00017.17